GGAUGCUUAGCUCAGCUGGGAGAGCAUCGCCCUUACAAGGCGAGGGUCACUGGUUCGAGCCCAGUAGCAUCCACCA
rnacentral:tRNA from 1 species